rnacentral:pre_miRNA from 1 species
AAUAAGAUCAUUUUUCAGUUUUUAGAUAUAAUGCUUUGACUCUUCGUCUUAUUUAAAAUUUUUUGUGAUUAAUAUUUUUAUUGUUACUGGAUGAUAAAACAUGAAUAGUAUGGUAUGCGUGACCAAUUUUUUAAGUUUUGUGCAAAUUUUUUAAAUAAGAUAAAUGGUCAAAUUUUAGACAUAAAAAUC